rnacentral:misc_RNA from 1 species
UUGAUUAUUUGUUUUGUGCUCAGACAUCACCGUUACUGGAGUUCAUAGGUCCUCUGACGGGCACGGGCCGGCCGGAGCCGGCGGUGGGUCGCCCCACGGGCCCGCCGAAGCAACAGAGGUAGGUAGACAUGGGUUGGAGGUUCGGGCCACGGGGACCCUCGCUCGGUAAUGAUCCUUCCGCAGGUUCACCUGUUCAUGAUGGUUAGCAAAACAUUGUCCAGAGGGGAUGGGUGGGAGGUUGUGGAGGGUUUACUCACCUACGGAAA